UGGGGCUGGCUGGGAGUUACAGGGGCCGGGGCUGGCUGGGAGUUACAGGGGCCGGGCGGGGGCUGGCUGGGAGUUACAGGGGCCGGGCUGGGGCUGGCUGGGAGUUACAGGGGCCAGGCGGGGGCUGGCUGGGAGUUGUGGGAUGAUAUUAACCAGCAAUACUCCAUGUGUAACCGAACACCUUUAAUAACAAUAAUUGUUGAUAAUGAGAAGUUAAAGUCUGGAAUUUGAGGGCAUUGCAGGUUGAAUGCUAAAUACAGAAUUUAUUAUUUCAGCUAAUUGGCCUAAAUGUAGAGUUUUAUUUUAUGAUCUGACAUUUGGUUUUUAAUAUUGUCAGACAGGGUUUGUGUUGCUAGUACAUGUAGUACUUUGGUCUGGCAGCAGAGGGCAGUGACUCCCAAUAAUAAUAAUAAUAAAUAAUAAUAAUAAUAUUAUUAUUAUUAUCUGCUCCAGGUGAGAAAUGCCUUGAGUGCUGUCAGAGGCUGGGACUAUACCUUUCUAGCUCUAGGACAGGGGUAGGCAACCUACGGCACUAGUGCCAUGCACGGCACUCAAGGCUGCUAGAGCCAAACAGGCUCUGGCCAUCAGGAGUCCCAGUAAAACUUCAGAUAUCUGCUAAUACGAAGAGGUGGUGAAGGACAAUCCUCCAUUUAUGCAUUGCAGCACGUAGAGGAAAUGAUCACUUCCUCCCAGCACUUGUGAAUGGGAAUCCAAACUGUAGUAGAGCAGCCCUCGACAGCUAUCGCAGCUCCUGGUCCCCACUUAAACCCAGGGAAGCCUCAGAGCUGCAGAAUAACCCUCCCUCAUACACAUAAUACAAACACAAGCACAGUCCGCACAAACACAACACCACCAACAAUCCACAUACAUGCACACAACCCCACAUGCAAUACCCCAAACACACACACUACCAAACACACAAUGUGACAUAUCCCACCACACACUAUUCCACCAGCAGCCCUCAUACACAGCCCACAUUCAUAACUAUUAAUGAGCAUAUACACAAUAUAAUAGCUCAUAUACGCACAAAUACAACGAUACAAAGCAAAUGCAGUAUAAAUAAAACAAGCAGAAUAUGACAACAUGCACACCUCAAUUUAAAGAAAUAGGACUGACACGCUACGGGACAUCACAAUCAUAUUUCGGCACAGUGCUGCUAAAAAGGUUGCUUACACCUGCUCUAGGAUAACAAAAUGUAAAGACAUGAAACCAAGUAAUAUUACCAUUUAUAUAGCACUAACUUAUUCCGCAGUGUUCUAAAAUAGUCUAAAGCAGUUACUUUAACAGUAUCUGAGACAAUUACAAAACAUCAUAGGAACAAUAGGUUGAAGAGGACCUUGCUCAAACGAGCUUACAGUCUAUAGGAGGUGGGGUGUAAAACACAUUAGGACAGGGAAUAGCAAUCAAAAUAGGUGGGAGUGAAGCAGCGCUGGAGGAGAGAGUAAAGCGCUGCCCUUUAGGAGAGAGCAAGAGACAGGUAUGUGAAGUGGAAAAAUCAAUUAAAGUAUUGAUUAUUUCUUUGUGUAUCUGCCCCUGGCCAAAUCAAUGAAACAAUGCGUG
rnacentral:lncRNA from 1 species